rnacentral:rRNA from 1 species
AGAGUUUGAUCCUGGCUCAGAUUGAACGCUGGCGGCAUGCCUAACACAUGCAAGUCGAACGGAAACGAUGCUAGCUUGCUAGCAGGCGUCGAGUGGCGGACGGGUGAGUAAUGUAUAGGAACUUGCCUAGUAGUGGGGGACAACGUGUGGAAACGCACGCUAAUACCGCAUAAUCUCUACGGAGGAAAGCAGGGGCUCUUCGGACCUUGUGCUACUAGAUGGGCCUAUAUCGGAUUAGCUAGUUGGUAAGGUAAUGGCUUACCAAGGCGACGAUCCGUAGCUGGUUUGAGAGAAUGAUCAGCCACACUGGGACUGAGACACGGCCCAGACUCCUACGGGAGGCAGCAGUGGGGAAUAUUGCACAAUGGAGGAAACUCUGAUGCAGCAAUGCCGCGUGUGUGAAGAAGGCCUUAGGGUUGUAAAGCACUUUCAGACGUGAGGAAAAGUAGACUAUUAAUACUAGUUUGCCCUGACGUUAACGUCAGAAGAAGGACCGGCUAACUCCGUGCCAGCAGCCGCGGUAAUACGGAGGGUCCAAGCGUUAAUCGGAAUUACUGGGCGUAAAGCGCGCGUAGGCGGAUAUUUAAGUCAGAUGUGAAAUCCCUGGGCUCAACCUAGGAACUGCAUUUGAAACUGGAUAUCUAGAGUAUGGUAGAGG